GCUGCAUUAUGCAUCAAAAA
rnacentral:snRNA from 1 species